GAUUAUGGCUCAGGACGAACGCUGGCGGCGUGCUUCAUACAUGCAAGUCGAACGAGAAGCUGACUUCGGUCAGUGGAAAGUGGCGGACGGGUGAGUAAUGUGUAGAGAAUCUGCCCUAGAGAGGGGGACAACAGUUGGAAACGACUGCUAAUACCCCAUAUGAGCGUAGCUGAAAUGCUAUUCUUGAAAACUCCGGUGCUCUGGGAUGAGUCUGCAUCUGAUUAGCUAGUAGGCGGUGUAAUGGACCACCUAGGCGACGAUCAGUAGCUGGUUUGAGAGGAUGAUCAGCCACAAUGGGACUGAGACACGGCCCAUACUCCUACGGGAGGCAGCAGUAGGGUAAUUUUGCGCAAGUGGGGGAAACCCUGAACCGCAGCAACGCCGCGUGAAUGAAGAAGCCCGUUCGGGGUGUAAAGUUCUGUCAGUGGGGACGAAACUUGACGGUACCCACAGAGGAAGCAUCGGCUAACUCCGUGCCAGCCGCCGC
rnacentral:rRNA from 1 species